CAAUGAACGAGGACUCUGCCAUUCUUCAAGCCUUUCUCAAUGAAAUGUAUACAUUCGUCUAAAUGACUAAGCAGGUCAGCUUGGAGUUGAUCAAGACAUUGUACAUGUUUCAAUAUAAUAUCAUGACUGCCCUUGUCAUAUUUAUCUGUGCCAGACAGUGGUUCAGCUUCUAUAGUAAGGAUAUGUGUUACGUUUGUAUCCUGGGUCAAACAAGUAAACGCAUCUUCUCUAUUGCCAAUGUAAAGUCCAUUAUUGCGUAUUUCUUUCAUAAUUUUUCGUUCACAUUCCCCAGAUUAAACUCCAGGAAAUUGUAAUUUUUAAAAUAGUAUAUUUACCGGUGUAUAAAUUGUAUAAUAUAUUUAUACCACACCAAAAGUAC